rnacentral:rRNA from 1 species
GACGAACGCUGGCGGCGUGCUUAACACAUGCAAGUCGAACGAUGAACUUGGAGCUUGCUCUGGGGGAUUAGUGGCGAACGGGUGAGUAACACGUGAGUAACCUGCCCUGGACUCUGGGAUAACUUCGAGAAAUCGGAGCUAAUACCGGAUAGGACCUUGCACCGCAUGGUGUGGGGUGGAAAGUUUUUCGGUUUGGGAUGGACUCGCGGCCUAUCAGCUUGUUGGUGAGGUAAUGGCUCACCAAGGCGUCGACGGGUAGCCGGCCUGAGAGGGUGACCGGCCACACUGGGACUGAGACACGGCCCAGACUCCUACGGGAGGCAGCAGUGGGGAAUAUUGCACAAUGGGCGCAAGCCUGAUGCAGCGACGCCGCGUGAGGGAUGACGGCCUUCGGGUUGUAAACCUCUUUCAGCAGGGACGAAGCGCAAGUGACUGUACCUGCAGAAGAAGCGCCGGCUAACUACGUGCCAGCCGCCGCCGUAAAAC